rnacentral:rRNA from 1 species
CAGCCGCCGCGGUAAUACGGAUGGUGCAAGCGUUAAUCGGAAUUACUGGGCGUAAAGCGCACGCAGGCGGUUUGUUAAGUCAGAUGUGAAAUCCCCGAGCUUAACUUGGGAACUGCAUUUGAAACUGGCAAGCUAGAGUCUUGUAGAGGGGGGUAGAAUUCCAGGUGUAGCGGUGAAAUGCGUAGAGAUCUGGAGGAAUACCGGUGGCGAAGGCGGCCCCCUGGACAAAGACUGACGCUCAGGUGCGAAAGCGUGGGGAGCAAACAGGAUUAGAUACCCGAGUAGUCCCUGUCUCUUAUAC